rnacentral:lncRNA from 1 species
CCUCCAACGACAUUUGUGCCUUAGAGAGUUUGUUUACCUCCUUGGUGCAUUCAAACCUGUGUUGUCUGGUGGUCAAGGUGUUGCUUCUCCACUAUGCCCAAUAACGCCUACAACAAUAAUAAGAUACCAGCAAGAUGGGAGGAAUACACAGACAUGGGUCGACAGAUUCCAGGGACGAGGUUCAUUGCCUUCAAGGUUCCACUUCGUGAGGUAUGUGAAGUGAAAAUUA